UACAGAGGCCUCGAGCGUUAGGCGGAAUCACUGGGCUUAAAGCGUGUGUAGGCGGACUUCUAAGUACCUUGUGAAAUCCCACGGCUCACCCGUGGAACUGCUUGGUAUACUGGUUGUCUUGAGCCACUUAGGGGCUACCGGAACAAAUGGUGGAGCGGUGAAAUGCGUAGAUAUCAUUUGGAACGCCAAUGGUGAAAACAGGUAGCUGGGAGUGUGCUGACGCUGAGACACGAAAGCCAGGGGAGCGAACGGG
rnacentral:rRNA from 1 species